CCUACGGGUGGCAGCAGUGAGGAAUAUUGGUCAAUGGGCGCGAGCCUGAACCAGCCAAGUAGCGUGAAGGAUGACUGCCCUACGGGUUGUAAACUUCUUUUAUCAAGGAAUAAACUGAGGCACGUGUGCCUUUUUGUAUGUACUUUAUGAAUAAGGAUAGGCUCACUCGGUGCCAGCAGCCGCGGUAAUACGGAGGAUCCGAGCGUUAGCCGGAUUUAUUGGGUUUAAAGGGAACGUAGAUGGGGUGUUAAGUCAGUUGUGAAAGUUUGCGGCUCAACCGUAAAAUUGCAAUUGAUACUGGCAGUCUUGAGUACAGUUGAGGGAGGCGGAAUUCGUGGUGUAGCGGUGAAAUGCGUAGAUAUCACGAAGAACUCCGAUUGCGAAGGCAGCUUACUAAACAGCCACUGACAUUGAUGCGCGAAAGUGUGGGUAUCAAACAGGAUUAGAUACCCCUGUAGUC
rnacentral:rRNA from 1 species